UCACAUGGGAACCAUUUGGGUCAUUCUGAUGGGAGGAGCCAGCUGUUUACGUCGGUGCAGUUCUGUGAUUGGACCAGAAUGAACCGCCUGGAAUUUCUACAGGGUCUCCACAGCCAAUCAGCUUCCUCCGUCCGUCUCCUGCAUCCUCUACCAGCAGCUACCUUCAAGUCUUCCUUCUCUGCAUCCGGAAUCCCCCUCUCUUCCUCUAGACUCAGCAUCCUUCAGUCUCUCCUCUGGACAUGUCCCAACCAUCUCAGUCUGACUGGAUCUCCAGAACCUCUAACAUGUUUUGUCCCUCUGAUAUCCUCAUUCCUGAUAAUAAUAAAAAUAAUAAUUAAAGCUGCAA